rnacentral:rRNA from 1 species
AUGUGUGUCCCAAAAGUUCAAGGAGGAAUGGGAUUAUGAGAUUUAUACUGUUUCAAUCUGGCAUUGUUAGCUAAACACGCCUGGCGUCUCCUGGAUAAUCCUGACUUGCUAUGUGCUAAAGUUUUAAGAGCCAAAUAUUUCCCGGAAGGUGACCUGAUGAAUACAAGCUUAAAAAAGGGUUCUUCCUUCACUUGGCCAAGCAUUAUGUCGGGUGUUGAAUCUCUCAGAAAUGGUUAUAUAUGGAGGCUUGGAAAUGGACAAAAUAUUGACAUAUUGAGAGAUGCAUGGAUUCCAAAUUGCGCGAAUAGGAGGAUUAUUACUCCUAGAUGUGGGAACAUUCUGACGAAAGUCUCUAACCUAAUUGAUCCAGUCAUGAACUUUUGGGAUGAAGAUUUGGUGACACAAACAUUCUGGCCAAUUGAUGCUUCUAGAGUACUGGCGGUCUUUCUCCCUAUACAUAGUAUGUCGGAUUUCAUUGCCUGGAGCUAUACAAAAAAUGAUUUGUUUACCGUACGACCAGCUUAUUUGGAGGAGUGGACUAAAUAA